rnacentral:tRNA from 1 species
AGUGUGGUGGCCGAGUGGUUAAGGCGUUGGACUCAAGUUCCAAUGGACAUUAGUCCUCAUGGGUUCAAAUCCCACCGCACUA